rnacentral:tRNA from 1 species
ACGUUGGUGGUUCAGUGGUAGAGUUCUCACCUCCCACGCGGGAGACCCAGGUUGAAUUCCCAGCCAGUGUA